rfam:Myotis brandtii contig223093, whole genome shotgun sequence.
GGCAGUUCUCGGGUGAUGCACCCCGGAAUCGGGGUCCCUCCUCUCUGGUUCCAGGGUGCAUCACUCAAGAACCGCC